GACGAACGCUGGCGGCGUGCUUAACACAUGCAAGUCGAACGGAAAGGCCCCUUUGGGGGUACUCGAGUGGCGCACGGGUGCGUAACACGUGAGUAACCUGCCCUUGACUUCGGGAUAACUUCAGGAAACUGGGGCUAAUACCGGAUAGGAAUCCUUGCUGCAUGGUGGGGGUUGGAAAGCUUCGGCGGUUUUGGAUGGACUCGCGGGUUAUCAGCUUGUUGGUGGGGUAGUGGCUUACCAAGGCUUUGACGGGUAGCCGGCCUGAGAGGGCGACCGGCCACAUUGGGACUGAGGUGCGGCCCAGACGCCUACGGGAGGCAGCAGUGGGGAAUAUUGCACAAGGGGCGGAAGCCUGAUGCAGCAGCGCCGCGGGCGGGAUGACGGCCUUCGGGUUGUAAACCGCUUUCAGCAGGGGCGAAGCUUGUGGUGACGGUACCUGAAGAAGAAGCACCGGCUAACUACGUG
rnacentral:rRNA from 1 species